CUCAGUGUUGUUGUCGUUCUCAUGAUUUGUCCUAUUGCAGCAGGACCAAGGAAUCGCGUUCACGCCACGAUAAUCAGAAGGCCCAUCUAUUCCGCAGCAUCGUAACUAAAAUUGUAUACAACCGCUUAUCGAAAGAUAUUAUAUUACAAAAUAAAACGCGCUGUCCGAAGAUGCUUAAAGGAGCUUGUGAUUCUUACCGCGGACUGCAUGUGCUCCCAGACAGACUUAUCAUCCGUGACCGCGAGAGAAAAGAUCUCUUCAUGUCGCAUGGGCGACAGGGUAUCUAUUUGCUCGUGUCGCACCAAGGUCCAAAUCCCAACGCUAGUUUCAACUAGCACAAUGAUCGCCAGUACUACAGCAAACUGCUAAAAUCACUCCAGAGAAGUGAGAUUCGACUCCAAACAAUUUAGAGAGAUCUUUCCGUAUUCCUGAAUAUUCAAGAAAACAACUUACAAUGAUCACUUGACCUUUGUUGGAAAAAUCCAAGAAUUGCCAGGCAAACCAGCCGAUCCCGCAUGUGAUAACGCCCAUCGCCAACAAAGUUGCGGACGAUCCGCACACAUGGUCGGGCGUGAGCGGCGCGUACUCGUGCAGCUGAUAAAUGAAGUAACCAGCGCAUACGCUCAUGAUCGCGCCGGAAAUCUACAAAAAAGAGUAUUUCACAAUUUUCGCGCUAUAUUUUCAUCUUGUUACUGUACAGAUUCCAGUCAGACAGCACGUAAUAUUUAUCAGAGAUUUACAAAAUAAUUAUAUAAAAGAUUACGAUAUUUUUUUCUACUUAUAAAUUAUGUAUUUAGAUCGAUAUUCAUAGUUGAAUCUUGUUUCAAGACCGUUUCAAGUUUUUUAAUGACAUGUUGAAUAAAAAUUUUAUAACUGUUUUCAUGUAUAUGUAUAAAAUAUUUACAUAUUUAAAAAGAAAUAGUAAUAAAUAUUUAUAAAUAUUUAUCAUAAAUAUCAUGUGCUGUCUGGGUAAUUAACGAGUUUUUUGCCGCGAUAUUCAUCACUUCGUGAUAUUUCGUUAUGAUAAUGAUUCGUGGAAACAUUUUUGCUUCGCGAUAAAUAUAUUUUUAAUUGCUUAUAAUGAUUGUGUUGUAAUUCUGUACAGAAAUAGAUAUCAAGGUAAAAAUUUUUCGAAAAUUUUCUGCGUUACUCUCUUUCUCGAAACUCCGAAGAUAUAGAUUGUCAUCUGGGAGUCGAUUGUGUAUAUAUAAGUUGAGUCAAAAUUACAAAAGUGAGCAAGUUCACUAAUUAUUAACCAAUAAAAUUAAUAAUAUUCUAGUAAAUUCGCUCAUUUUCGUAAUUUUCAUCAACCUGAGCGAUCCACAAUCGACUCCGGGAUCGUUACAACGAGAGCAAUCGUAGAUAAAAUAAAGACAAAAUCUUAUCUAUAAAUGGGCGAGGUGCUUUAUACAGUUCGUUCAAAACAAACUUUGCAUCAUGGCUUUCGACGCAGUAUCAUAACGAUCAUAGUUUUCGUGAAUAGAGAGAAAACUCACGGUAUAAUUUAUGAUCUUUCAACUCUUAUCUUAUCGCAAAAUGGAUUUCAAUCUUACAAUGUAUAUUUCAAGCAAACAACAGACAACGCGAAAUCUAAAAUCAGUUCAUGAGACGUCUUUAAUGUCCAUUUUCACCAAUGUAGAUUAACUUUGAUCUCAGUUUAAUUUACUCUAUUUUUUUUUCUAAUUCUUAGCACUAGAAAAAAAUAGAGUAAGUUAAACUGAGAUCCAAGUUAGAGUUAAUUUGCACUGAUGGAAAUGAAUACAAGACAUCUAUCUAUAAGAUUGUUCUUGGAAAUGUAUUUUAAAGACAUCUUAUGACCCGAUUUUAGACUUUAUGUUGUUUGAAAACUUUCAUUAGAAGAAUCAUUAAAACCAAAGUAAUAUAUCGAAAAAAUUUUUAACAGAGAAUAAAUUGAUUAUGUAUACUGAAAAAAGUUUCUUCUGUUCGAAUCAUUUUCUUGAUAUAAUUAAAUAAAUAUUAGUUAAUAAAUAUUUGUAUAAUAUAAAAUAAUUACAGUCAAACCUCGAUAAUUCGAAUCUAAAGGCAAGAGCUCAAAUCUUCGAGUAAAAGAGGAUUAACUAUGAAAAUUCGACUUACGGAGACUUUAUACAAGAGUUAAUAAUUUUCCAAUUAUAAUGACUUUUAAAGGAAAAAAAUUCAAUUAAAGAAAAAAAAAUUUUUUUCAGUGUAAUACCAUUACAAAAUUAACAUCGUAUAUUUUUAUUGUAGAAUAAAGUGUUAAUUAAGGUCGCUUCGCAAUUAGUGUGCUCUCCUUCAACUCUCAUUGUCUUUCAUCAAUCAAUGUAUAAUCUAAAAUUAUAUGACUACUGUAUACUUUACAAAGUUAGGUAUUAGUAACUAUAAUAAUUAAUAAGUUGUAAAAAACUUAUCCAACUUAGAUAUAUUAAUUACGCGUUAUCUUCUUUUCAUUAUUCAUUUAUUUUAUUUAUUUUAGAAAACUGAAAAACGAACGAAUUGAAAUCGAUGUUUUAAAAUAGAGAACUCUGUUUGAAAAAUUAUAAUCUAAAAUAAUGUCAUGUGUAAAAACAAACUAACGAUAUCUACCUUUCGAUAAAUUUAAUCACAAUCUAUUAUAAUCUUUGAUAACUUUAAACUAAUUUUAUAACUAACUCCGAUAAGCAUUAAUUUCUUAGAUCAUUUAUUUCUUAAGCGAUUUUGUAAGAAUACACGUAAGGAUGUUGUGACUAUACAAUAAGAGCUAAAAGUUAUCAAAAUUUAUUAAAUAUCGAAUGUUUUUCUAAGUUCUUUGUUAUCUUUUUUUCUAAUAAACAAAAAAUUUUAAUCACAAA